ACAAUCCUGAGCCUUGUGCCCAGGCUCUGCUGCUGCCAGCGCCAAACAACGUGCUGCAGACAGGAGGAGGAGCAGGGGGCCAGCAGAACAAGGCACCCCUGGGAACAGAGCAGCCCUAAAACCUCAGGGGUACCCCGAAAUUCCAGGCUUGCUGACUCCCAUUUCUGAACACUUUGGAGGGAAGUGGGAAUUUUACCUCACUGGGCACAAGGUGAGCAGCUAAGAGGGACUGUGAUUCCUGCAGAAAGUGCUGUAAAAUUCUUGGUUAUUGGGCACUUUUAGUCAGCAGGUGGAUGACAAAAUGUGAUGGAAACCCCUUGGCCCUGUGACGAGUGGCAGUGGGGAUCACCCACCAGCUCCUGGCAGUGCUCCAUGGAUGCUCCAGAGCAGGACUGCAGGACAGGGAAAAUGGAAAAUCCCCCCUUUGGAUUUCUAAGGCUUGAGGGAGAAGAAAAUGUGCAGGGAAGUGUUUGGAGUUGCCUUUGCCAUGGCAGCAUGGAGGGUGCCCUGCCCCAGGCAGCUGGGUGGGCACCUGCGGGGGCAGAGCCUGGGGGCACCUGAGCCACGGGGGUGAUGGAAAACCCUUUCUGCAUCCCUCUCCUUUUGUGAAAAAUGCCUGUUUUAUGGUUGUCUUUUUGCAAAUAUUCACAUUAAUAUUAUAUGCCUUGUGUUAGAAAGUUAUGCUGUACUAAUUCUCUUAAGUACUGUGUUAAAUAUAGUUUUAGGCUAUAAAAAUGUUAAAACAGAAACUAUGCUGUGUAGGAUACUUUUUUUAAAGAAAGAGCUUGCACCAAGAUAGCAGCCACAGGACACCUGAAUCUUUCAGAGAAAGAGAAUUUAUUGCUCCAUUAUCAGAAGAAAUGAACUUCUUCCUGCCUCGAAGGUGCUGUCAGGAUUCAAAGGAAGAAGUUGACACUGACCAGACAGAAUCCUGUGUUUGAAUGGAAUUUAUGCAUCAUGUAUGAGGUGUAUGAAUAUGCAACAGGCUGUUGUUUUUAAGGGUUAAUCCUCUGCUAACAUGGGUCCUUUUUUUGGGCUUAUUUUGCCCAGAAAGAGGUAUCCAAACUGUCCAUAACUCUUUGUUUCUAUUAUCUCAUAUUGUCCUAAUUCAAUUUGUCCAAAGUAAUAUUACUCUAAUUGUAUUACUUUUUCUAUAACCAUUUUAUUGCUAUUAAACUUUUAAAAUUUCAAAAA